CGGGAAAUAGCUCAGCUUGGUAGAGCACUUGGUUUGGGACCAAGGGGUCGCGGGUUCGAAUCCUGUUUUCCCGA
rnacentral:tRNA from 1 species